rnacentral:rRNA from 1 species
UAACACGUGGAGAACCUGCCCCCUCCCCCGGGAUAGCCGCCCGAAAGGACGGGUAAUACCGGAUACCCCCGGGUGCCGCAUGGCGCCCGGGCUAAAGCCCCGACGGGAGGGGAUGGCUCCGCGGCCCAUCAGGUAGACGGCGGGGUGACGGCCCACCGUGCCGACAACGGGUAGCCGGGUUGAGAGACCGACCGGCCAGAUUGGGACUGAGACACGGCCCAGACUCCUACGGGAGGCAGCAGUGGGGAAUCUUGCGCAAUGGGGGCAACCCUGACGCAGCGACGCCGCGUGCGGGACGGAGGCCUUCGGGUCGUAAACCGCUUUCAGCAGGGAAGAGACGAGACUGUACCUGCAGAAGAAGCCCCGGCUAACUACGUGCCAACAGCCGCGGUAAUACGUAGGGGGCGAGCGUUAUCCGGAUUCAUUGGGCGUAAAGCGCGCGUAGGCGGCCCGGCAGGCCGGGGGUCGAAGCGGGGGGCUCAACCCCCCGAAGCCCCCGGAACCUCCGCGGCUUGGGUCCGGUAGGGGAGGGUGGAACACCCGGUGUAGCGGUGGAAUGCGCAGAUAUCGGGUGGAACACCGGUGGCGAAGGCGGCCCUCUGGGCCGAGACCGACGCUGAGGCGCGAAAGCUGGGGGAGCGAACAGGAUUAGAUACCCUGGUAGUCCCAGCCGUAAACGAUGGACGCUAGGUGUGGGGGGACGAUCCCCCCGUGCCGCAGCCAACGCAUUAAGCGUCCCGCCUGGGGGAGUACGGCCGCAAGGCUAAAACUCAAAGGAA